GGGUGGUGGGGAAGGGGAGAGCAUGAGGAAGAACAGCUAAUGGGUGCUGGGCUUAGUAUCUCAGUGAUGGGUUGAUCUGUGCAGCCAUCCACCACGGCACACAUUUACCUAUGUAACAAACCUGGACAUCCUGCACAU